GAUGAACGCUAGCUACAGGCUUAACACAUGCAAGUCGAGGGGAAACGAUAUUGGAAGCUUGCUUCCGAUAGGCGUCGACCGGCGCACGGGUGAGUAACGCGUAUCCAACCUGCCCAUCACUUGGGGAUAACCUUGCGAAAGUAAGACUAAUACCCAAUGAUAUCUCUAGAAGACAUCUGAAGGAGAUUAAAGAUUUAUCGGUGAUGGAUGGGGAUGCGUCUGAUUAGCUUGUUGGCGGGGGUAACGGCCCACCAAGGCUACGAUCAGUAGGGGUUCUGAGAGGAAGGUCCCCCACAUUGGAACUGAAACAAGGUCCAAACUCCUACGGGAGGCAGCAGUGAGGAAUAUUGGUCAAUGGGCGAGAUCCUGAACCAGCCUAGUAGCGUGCAGGAUGACGGCCCUAUGGGUUGUAAACUGCUUUUAUAAGGGAAUAAAGUUGGACUCGUGAGUCCUUUUGCAUGUACCUUAUGUAUAAGGACCGGCUAAUUCCGUGCCAGCAGCCGCCGUAA
rnacentral:rRNA from 1 species